AUAGAUUGGUGGUGGUGUUGAGGGAGUAUGAAGCGUUCAAAAAAUAGUGGAUAGAUACCUGCAAGCGACAAAAAUAUAACAAAAGAUUUGGACUACAAUGCGGAAGAAGAAGUAGAAAUUUCUGAUGACGAACUUCCAGAGGAACUGCCAAGGAGAAAAAAGGAUGCUUAUGUCGCUUGGAAACAUGUCAAGAAAUGCAAAACAUCGAAUGAAGCAGAUUGGUCGGAAAAGAAAAACGUGUGGUAAUACAACUAACUUAUUAAGCCAUGUAACUCGGAAACUCCCUGAUUAUAAAACAAAACCAGUCCCGGAGACAAGCUUGCAAAAAUAUUUUAGCCAGGAAAAUAUUUACUCCAAUGAGUCAAAGCGUAAAUUAGACAUCGAUAAGGACGUUAUGCUUAUGAUUGCCGUCGAUGUCCAACCGUUCAACGUUGUAAAUGGUCGCGGAUUUCGGAGAUUGCUUCACAGGCUGGACCCACGGUACAAAAUUCCUAGUAAAACAUACAGUUUGUCAAGAAACACUUUACACACCGAAAAUAAAUUUAAUUUUUUGAAUUUAGGUAUGAAAAUAAUAGAUUUUUAUUCAAGUUAAACCAAUUUUUUUAAUGCAUAACAAUUUAAUGCUUAGUAUUAAGUUAAUAUGUGAAAAGAAAAAAACAAAAAUAUAAGUAGGUAACAUAAAAAACAACAAAAACUAACAUUACUCAUUUUUGACACUGUCAAGAAACUCUUUACACUUUUCGUUUUCAUUAACGUUAAUUCAAAAUUUUUUGCGAAUCUAAAAUAUUUGAAGCUAAUUUUAAUAUUUAGUAUGCCCUUCCUUAGCAUUAAUUACAUCCUGAAGCCGUUUUUUCAUUGAAUGGAUCAAUUUUGGAAGGUCAUAUUCAAGGGGGAUCUUCUGCCACUCUUCCAGAAUAAUAGCUUUUAGCUGAAUUCGGGUUUUGGGCUGCCUUUUUGC